rnacentral:rRNA from 1 species
CCCUUAGAUGUUCUGGGCCGCACGCGCGCUACCAUGAUGAAUUCAACGAGUUUAUAACCUUGGUUGAAAAGCCUGGGUAAUCUUUUGAACUUUCGUCGUGAUGGGGCUAGACCCUUGCAAUUAUUGGUCUCCAACGAGGAAUUCCUAGUAAACGCAAGUCAUCAGCUUGCAUUGAUUACGUCCCUGCCCUUUGUACACACCGCCCGUCGCACCUACCGAUUGAAUGGUCCGGUGAAAUCUUCGGAUUGAGACUUUGAUUUCUUCACGGAAAACGCUGUUUUAAAAAGUUGAUUAAACCUUACCAUUUAGAGGAAGGUGAAGUCGUAACA